rnacentral:lncRNA from 1 species
UUCUUCAUCCCAUAAAACUCUUAUCUUUAUUCACCAUCUUGAAAGGAAGAAAAAAAACAGAAAAUAAAAAAUACAAAACUCACUCAUAAUCACUAAAAUUCAUCUUCCAUUUCAAUCCCAACCCCAAUUUCAAUCCCCAAAUUCAAUCCAAACCUCUCUCUCCGACAACAACAUAAACAAUUUCUUCAUGGUCAAUAAUUACAACAACAUUAACAACCUUUUUCAAUAACCCCAAACACUGUAAUCUCAAUUCCAACAAUAAACAAGAACUUUAUCAUCAUCAGCUGCAACAACAAGAACAACAAGCAAAAUUCAAAAACUUGUAGAAUACCCAUUAAACCAAAAGCAAUUCGCAACAAACAACACUGAAAUCAACAACAACAAUAAUCCAUGACUCCACAACUCAAUUAUCAAACACAGAUACAUCAGUUCCACUAGCACAUAUCACAAUUUCACCGUUGCACAAAGGAAUUAGAACAAACCGCUAUUAAUCUUCCAUUUCAUCGUUCCAAAGCUUUUUAGGUUUUGUUAGCUUUUGCGUUUGUGUGUUCACGAGGAAGUUGGAGAGCAGAUGAAUGGAUAGUAGAUCAAAUCGAAACAAAAACAAAAUCACAGAUCCAAUGCAAUUCACCUUUCAAAGGUGGAAAAAGUGGCGUUCAGAAAAUUCUUCAAGAAACGUGUAAGAAGAAGAAAACUUCGAUAAUGAUUUGAGUUUGACGAGGAUCCGAUGAAUUGGCGGAGCUGCAAGCUUGUACUGUUCUGAAUGAUGCACAAUGAAGAAAUAGUUUGUUAUGAGAUCCAUUGAUGACCAAAAUUGUGUUGUCGUUUUUUGGAUAUAACCAAAGUUGAAUGCAUUGAGAUUUAAGGCAAUUCAUUUACACUUACCUCCACUUUCUCUGUUUUUUGACUUUUUGGGUUUUUUCAACGAGGUUGUUGUUGAUGUUUUUGGGUUAAGCAUUUUGAUUAAGAAUCUUAGUUUUAUUUGUUGUGUUGAAUUCUCAUAAGUUGAGACAUGAAAGGUUGAAUUUUUC